UACGUAGGGUGCGAGCGUUAAUCGGAAUUACUGGGCGUAAAGUGUGCGCAGGCGGCCGAGCAAGUCGAGUGUGAAAGCCCCCGGCUCAACUGGGGAGGGUCAUUCGAUACUGAUCGACUCGAAGGCAGGAGAGGGUAGUGGAAUUCCCGGUGUAGUGGUGAAAUGCGUAGAUAUCGGGAGGAACACCAGUGGCGAAGGCGACUACCUGGCCUGUUCUUGACGCUGAGGCGCGAAAGCGUGGGGAGCGAACAGG
rnacentral:rRNA from 1 species